GCAUUCCUAUGGUUCAGUUUGUAGAACAUUGCGCUAAUAACGCAAUGGUUGUGGGUUCAAAUGCCAGGAGAAGCA